GACGGAGGAGGCAAGCAUUGUCCGGAAUUAUUGGGCGUAAAGAACACGUAGGCGGUUUAUCAAGUCAUAUGUGAAAACCUUGGGCUUAACUUAAGGAUUGCAUAUGAUACUGGUAAACUAGAGUAUAGUAGAGGAAAGCGGAAUUCCUGGUGUAGCGGUGAAAUGCGCAGAUAUCAGGAAGAACACCAGUGGCGAAAGCGGCUUUCUGGACUGUUACUGACGCUGAGGUGUGAAAGCUAGGGGAGCGAACAGGAUUAGAUACCCGU
rnacentral:rRNA from 1 species